UACGUAGGGUCCGAGCGUUGUCCGGAAUUACUGGGCGUAAAGAGCUCGUAGGUGGUUUGUCGCGUUGUUCGUGAAAACUCACAGCUCAACUGUGGGCGUGCGGGCGAUACGGGCAGACUAGAGUACUGCAGGGGAGACUGGAAUUCCUGGUGUAGCGGUGGAAUGCGCAGAUAUCAGGAGGAACACCGGUGGCGAAGGCGGAUCUCUGGGCCUUACCUGACGCUCAGGCGCGAAAGCGUGGGGAGCGAACAGG
rnacentral:rRNA from 1 species